rnacentral:rRNA from 1 species
GGGGGGGGGGGGCUUAAACAUGCCAGUCGAACGGCAGCGACGAGCUUAACACAUGCAAGUCGAGCGGGGAGCUUCGGCUCUCAGCGGCGAACGGGUGAGUAACACGUGGGCAACCUGCCCCGAGCUCUGGAAUAACCUCGGGAAACCGGGGCUAAUGCCGGAUAUGACAUUGCCGGGCAUCUGGUGGUGUGGAAAGAUUUAUCGGCUCGGGAUGGGCCCGCGGCCUAUCAGCUUGUUGGUGGGGUGAUGGCCUACCAAGGCGACGACGGGUAGCCGGCCUGAGAGGGCGACCGGCCACACUGGGACUGAGACACGGCCCAGACUCCUACGGGAGGCAGCAGUGGGGAAUAUUGCGCAAUGGGCGGAAGCCUGACGCAGCGACGCCGCGUGGGGGAUGACGGCCUUCGGGUUGUAAACCUCUUUCAGCAGGGACGAAGGGAUACUGCUGACGGUACCUGCAGAAGAAGCACCGGCCAACUACGUGCCAGCAGCCGCGGUAAUACGUAGGAUGCAAGCGUUGUCCGGAAUUAUUGGGCGUAAAGAGCUCGUAGGCGGCCUGUUGCGUCGGCUGUGAAAAAAAGGGGCUCAACUCCGGGCCUGCAGUCGAUACGGGCAGGCUAGAGUCCGGCAGGGGAGACUGGAAUUCCUGGUGUAGCGGUGAAAUGCGCAGAUAUCAGGAGGAACACCGGUGGCGAAGGCGGGUCUGCGAUAAUA